ensembl:lncRNA
AUGUUUGCGAGCAGAGCAGCCUGGCAGAGGUGUGGGCCUCUGGCGCGACAGUCCCUGCACCGCGCGCAGCUCAAUAGAAAUGUAGUUCCUCGGAGGCUCAUGUCGUCAGGUCCUGGCGGCUCAGGUGAGAAUUUCCUUUAUGUCGUCCUCUGCGGUGGAGCCUUCGCAGGUGCCGUGGCAUAUGCUUACAGAACAGUUGCAACAGACCACGCACGUUUUGUUGGUCGUGUUUCUGAAAUUGAUGCUCGCCCCAAGUCUGACUGGAAACCCAAACCAUGGCCACCCAAGAAAGAAGCUAGUGCAGAGGAAGGAGAGGUGGCAGAAACUGUAGAGAGCGCAUCCGAGGAGGAUGUUCCUGCUGAGGCACCUGAGGUCUUGCUGGAAACAGCCGAAGCCACCAGAGGGAAGGCAGGAACUCUUGAGACCGUUGUGGAAAAGGUUGCCGAGACGGUAGCAGAGACUGCAGAGGUGAUCACUGAGGUGGCAGGGGUUGUUCAUGAAACCGCAGAGGAGGUGGCAGCGGUGGCAGAAGAAGUGCAGAAGGUAGCAGAGAAAGUAGAAGCAGCAGCAGAGGCUGUCGAAACUCCUGUUAUCCAAGCUGAAGAGCCGGCGUCAGAGAGCAACGGGUCUGUUAGCACAGCAGUAGCAGAAACAGUAGCGCUGGCUGCUGCCUCCGUGAUCGAGGCUGUUCCUGUGGAGUCUGUAUCCGUGGAAGAUGUGUCCGUUGAAGCUCUACCAGAGAUGCCCACUGAGGUUCCUACAACAGAUCAUUUGGCUAAAGUACCAGUAACAGAGGUGGCACCUGUUGCUCCAGUGAUGGAGGAGGAACCAGCUUCUCUAGUAGCAGAAGCACCAGAUACCACUGUAAUAGAAGAGCCUCCGAUAGCAGAGCAAUUGUCCAUUCCCCCAGUUUCCCCAGUUGUAGAUGAGCCUGUUUCCACAGUGGUGGAAGAGUCUCCAGUAGCAGAGGAGACACCAGUUGAUUCACCAGCAGCAGAAGUAUUUGUUGCUCCAGUGAUUGAAGCAGCACCAGUUUCCCCAGUUGUGGAAGAACCAGGUGUUGCAGCAGUGGUAGAAGUGACUCCAGUUGUAAAGGAGACACCAGCUGAUUCUCCAGUACCCUCAGAAGAAGCAUCUGAUGUCCCUGUGAUAGAAGAGGAAGUUUUAGUUGCCCCAGUGACAGAAGAGACACCUAUUGCCCCAGAAGCAGAGGAGGUAUUAGUUGCCCCAUUGAUAGAAGAGAUGCCUGUUGCCCCUGUGCCAGAAGAGGCAGCCGUUUUCUUUGUAACUGAAGAAGCUCCUGCUGUUGUUGCUGAAGACGCACCUGCUGUAGCAACUGAAGAACUUGAGGAAACACUUGCAGCCAAAGUAGCAGAAGAGGAUAUUCCAGUGGUUGAGGAAGUGAAGGCAGAAGAGGUGAUUGCAGGAAAUGCGUUUGUGGAGGCCCCAGUAAGUAUAGUCGAGGAACAAGCAGCAAGUCCAGUUGUGGAAGUUACAGAAAGUGUUGUUGAACCACAUGUUGCAAGCAUAGUGGUCACUGAGGAAGUUGCUCCAGCUGAAACGUCAAGUGCACCUUUGGAAGAGCCCAAACGAGACUACGUAGUGGUUGUCUUGGAGGGAGCUCCCAAAGCAGAAAAGAAGCCCAUGGUGCUCGGUGUGUCACCCGUGACUGGCAAGAUCAUCCCAGCCCCUGAUGAUGGUGAAGAUCCAUCGGGACAGGUAACAGGGCAAGCGCCGUAUGCUUAA